GUGGUUGUGGCUCAGUGGUAGAGCAAUCGCCUGGCACAUGUGAAGUACUGGGUUCAACUCUCAGCAUCACA
rnacentral:tRNA from 1 species